rnacentral:rRNA from 1 species
GAUGAACGCUGGCGGCGUGCCUAAUACAUGCAAGUAGAACGCUGAAGGAGGAGCUUGCUCUUCUGGAUGAGUUGCGAACGGGUGAGUAACGCGUAGGUAACCUGCCUGGUAGCGGGGGAUAACUAUUGGAAACGAUAGCUAAUACCGCAUGACAUCAGAUAUUGCAUGAUAACUGUUUAAAAGGGGCAACUGCUCCACUACCAGAUGGACCGGCGUUGUUUUAGCUAGUUGGUGGGGUAACGGCUCACCAAGGCGACGAUACAUGGCCGGCCUGAGAGGGGGAUCGGCAAAACUGGAAUUAGAACAGGGUCCGACUUCCUAGGGGAGGAAGCGGAGGGGAAUUUUGGCAAUUGGCCGAAAGCCUGCCGCGGACAUCCCGGUGAGUGAAGAAAGGUUUUGGGGUGGUAAAGCCUGUUGUUUGGGAAGGAAGAGUGUGAGGGUGGAAAGUUCACGCUGUGACGGUAUCUAACCAGAAAGCGACGGCUAACUUCGUG